UACCAGCACCCCGAGUGGUCGGGACGUUUUAUUGGGCCUAAAGCAUCCGUAGCCGGUUCUACAAGUCUUCCGUUAAAUCCACCUGCCUAACAGAUGGGCUGCGGAAGAUACUAUGGAGCUAGGAGGCGGGAGAGGCAAGCGGUACUCGAUGGGUAGGGGUAAAAUCCGUUGAUCCAUUGAAGACCACCAGUGGCGAAGGCGGCUUGCCAGAACGCGCUCGACGGUGAGGGAUGAAAGCUGGGGGAGCAAACCGG
rnacentral:rRNA from 1 species